rnacentral:tRNA from 1 species
UGGCAAGUAGCACAGAGGUAGUGCGCUCGGCUGUUAACCGAGUGGUCGCGGGUUCGAAUCCUGCCUUGCCAGCCA